AGCUUUGUGGCACCGUGGCAGUAUCGUAGCCAAUGAGGUUUAUCUGAGGCACGAUUAUUGCUAAUUGAAAACUUUUCCCAAUACCCUGCAAUGACAACUUGAAACAUAGCAUUGGCAAUUUUUGACAGUAUCUACAGAGA